rnacentral:rRNA from 1 species
GACGAACGCUGGCGGCGUGCCUAAUACAUGCAAGUAGAACGCUGAAGGGGGAGCUUGCUCUUCUGGAUGAGUUGCGAACGGGUGAGUAACGCGUAGGUAACCUGCCUGGUAGUGGGGGAUAACUAUUGGAAACGAUAGCUAAUACCGCAUAAUAACAGUUGUUGCAUGACAACUGUUUGAAAGGUGCAAUUGCAUCACUACCAGAUGGACCUGCGUUGUAUUAGCUAGUUGGUGGGGUAACGGCUCACCAAGGCGACGAUACAUAGCCGACCUGAGAGGGUGAUCGGCCACACUGGGACUGAGACACGGCCCAGACUCCUACGGGAGGCAGCAGUAGGGAAUCUUCGGCAAUGGACGAAAGUCUGACCGAGCAACGCCGCGUGAGUGAAGAAGGUUUUCGGAUCGUAAAGCUCUGUUGUAAGAGAAGAACGAGUGUGAGAGUGGAAAGUUCACACUG